rnacentral:rRNA from 1 species
GAACGCUAGCUACAGGCUUAACACAUGCAAGUCGAGGGGCAGCAUGGAGUUGCUUGCAAACUCUGAUGGCGACCGGCGCACGGGUGAGUAACGCGUAUCCAACCUUCCCUAUAGUAGAGGAUAGCCCGGCGAAAGUCGGAUUAAUACUCUAUGUUUUCCGUUGCAGACAUCUAAGAUGGAACAAAGGCUUGCCGCUAUAGGAUGGGGAUGCGUCUGAUUAGGUAGUCGGCGGGGUAACGGCCCACCGAGCCAUCGAUCAGUAGGGGUUCUGAGAGGAAGGUCCCCCACAUUGGAACUGAGACACGGUCCAAACUCCUACGGGAGGCAGCAGUGAGGAAUAUUGGUCAAUGGGCGAGAGCCUGAACCAGCCAAGUAGCGUGCAGGAUGACGGCCCUAUGGGUUGUAAACUGCUUUUAUGCGGGGAUAAAGUUCACUACGUGUAGUGUUUUGUAGGUACCGCAUGAAUAAGGACCGGCUAAUUCCGUGCCAGCCGCUGC